UGGAGUCACAUGGACAGUGGUCAGUCCUAUCGUCUUCACCUAUCGAGUCAUUCAGUCUGAGAGUCUUCUGGAUGCAAGCAAUGACACCUUACUGUUUGGCCAUAUCUCCAGCCCUAUGGAGCUCCAGGCCCUUAAGAUCAACAGUAAAGUAAUGAAGCGAUUCAUUGUGAUUGAUCAGACUGUUAAUGAUCUAUACGGCUCCCAGGUGGCAGCAUAUUUCGAAGCGAGAGGAGUGACCUACAAGAUCCUUCCCUUACCCACAACUGAGGAGAACAAGUCCAUGACCCUGGUGACCAGAAUCUUGGAGGAGGUCCAUAAGUUUGGGAUUGACCGCCGUGCGGAGCCCAUUAUCGCUAUCGGUGGCGGUGUUUGUCUGGAUAUCACAGGUCUCGCUGCAUCACUGUAUCGCAGACGUACUCCUUAUAUCCGUGUCCCUACUACUCUGCUGGCUUACAUUGAUGCCAGUGUGGGGGCAAAGACUGGGGUCAAUUUUGCCAAUGGUAAAAAUAAGCUAGGGUCAUACAUCCCACCCGUGGCAGUGUUACUGGACAGGAGUUUCCUCUGCACUCUGCCACGCCGCCAUAUUUCUAAUGGAAUGGCCGAAAUGCUGAAGAUGGCGCUGAUGAAACACAGAGGACUCUUUGAACUUUUGGAGAAGGAUGGCAGACAUUUGUUGGACUCCAGUUUCCAAUCAUCGAGGAGAAUGCCAGAAAAUAUGCAUGCGGAUGCAGCGAGUGUGUCCACGAGACUGGCCAUUGAAACCAUGCUGGAGGAACUUGCUCCAAACCUGUGGGAGGACGAUCUGGACCGGCUGGUGGACUUUGGCCAUAUCAUCAGUCCAGAGCUUGAAAUGAAAAUUCUUCCUGCGCUUCUGCAUGGAGAGGCGGUGAACAUUGACAUGGCUUUCAUGGUCUAUGUGGCUCACGAAAGGGGCUUUCUGACAGAAGAGGAGAAAAGACGUAUCAUUGUGUGUAUGCGGAGCCUAGAUCUUCCUGUGUGGCAUUCAGACUGCACUCUGGAUCUAGUACUGAAGUCCCUUACUGAACGACUCAAGCACUCAGGAGGAUUUCUGAGAAUGCCUCUACCCACAGCGCUGGGAAAAGCAAGAAUCUUCAAUGACACAGAAGAGAGCAUUGUGUGCCAAGCGUUCAAGAAAUGGUGUGAUGAACAGUGUGAAACCACCAUGAAACCAGAAUAACACACCACAGGAAAUGUUGAGUCUGAUUAUAUUCCUGAACCAAGAAAAACAUCUGUGCUGCAAAAAGAAACACAUCAAAUCAUGAAUGAAAACCUCCAGAAAUUGUGAAAACCACUCAGUUUUAUUUCAUUCCCAAUACACUUGACAAGCUUUAAAACCUAACAAUGAAAUGCUACUUUCCUCAUAAAGCUCAUAUAAAGAGUGAAAGGUGACUUUCCCAACAGGUUUAACAUGGGCCGGCUUCCAGUACUGAAUUCAUAGGAAGUUAAUGCUUUAUAAAGAAAUUCAACCAAAAAAAAAUCAACAUUACAAGCUAUCUUAAGUCCUUUCUUAAAUAAUGUUUGGUUAAGCUUCAAAAAUAUAAAACAAAAGUAUAUUAACAAAACGAAAACUAUCUCUAGCCAAGACACUUCUAUAAAAGACAGACUGUGUUUGUUAUUAAAAGGCGUUUGGUUGAAGUUCCACGGAAGCGUUUUGAAGGCACCUUUCAUUGAUGUCACUGAUACAUAUGCAUUCAUACAGGAGCCUUGUGCUUUACCUGUUACCUGAUUGUCUGAAUUAUUGCUCAGAAAAAAAAUUGCAACAGCCAGUUUUGCUAUAAAUCCACGAGAUACAUGACAGUUUCACUGCAUAUUUAGACUCCACUUGGAAUUUAGUAGUCAACACUGCGUAACAUCACAUUCAGAGGACGACUUUCAGUAGUUUCUGUCUAUAGGGGAAGGAGUUUAUGUAAUACACUAUUCUUGAAAGUUUUGUAGUGCUUCAAGACACUUCAGCUUUAAGCCAGAAUACAAUACAAUCUUGAUCAAACCCUGCGGGUCAGUAUUAACUAGGUUUGGUGGUCCUACUGAGAGAUCAUCCCCUCUACUUCACCCGAGGACCGAACCGGUUAGGUUCCACAGUCUAAGACUAAGUCUAAAAUCACACAUAUAGAAUAGAACAUUUCAUUUAAAGGAAUAGUUCACAAAAAAUUGAAAAUUAGGAACAUCGUCGUCUUACGCUCACGUAGCUCUAAACCCAUGUACUGUACAUUUUUACAAAUGUAUUUAUUUAUUUAUUUUCCUUUUUGGAAAUUGGCAGUCCCUGUGGAAGCCUGUUUCAGCAUGGAAUAAAAAUAAAUAGGUAAUUGUGACUUUCUCGCAAUUCAGAACCCCCCCCCCCCCCCCCCACCCAACACAAAAAAAAAAAAAAAAACAACAGGAGG
ensembl:lncRNA 2-epi-5-epi-valiolone synthase-like